AACUUUGCAAUCCAUGCACGUGAUGACUGGGUGUUCACACCCAUGUGUGAGGUGCGCCCACGUCAGACUUUGUUAUGAUGUCAGCACAUUAUCUGCCUGACA
ensembl:snoRNA